rnacentral:rRNA from 1 species
GCUAUUAAUUUGACUGUACCAUUUGAAUAAGUAACGACUAACUAUGUGCCAGCAGUCGCGGUAAUACAUAGGUUGCAAGCGUUAUCCGGAUUCAUUGGGCGUAAAACAAGCGCAGGCCGAUUAGAAAGUCUGGUGUUAAAAGCAAUUGCUUAACGAUUGUAUGCAUUGGAAACUUCUAGUCUAGAGUUUGGUAGAGAGUCCUGGAACUCCAUGUGGAGCGGUGAAAUGCGUAGAUAUAUGGAAGAACACCAGAGGCGAAGGCGAGGACUUGGGCCAAUACUGACGCUUAGGCUUGAAAGUGUGGGGAGCAAAUAGGAUUAGAUACCCUAGUAGUCCACACUGUAAACGAUGGAUGUUAAGUGUCGGAGCGAAUACUUCGGUGCUGCAGUUAACACAUUAAACAUCCUGCCUGAGUAGUACAUUCGCAAGAAUGAAACUCAAACGGAAUUGACGGGGACCCGCACAAGUGGUGGAGCAUGUUGCUUAAUUCGACGGUACACGAAAAACCUUACCUAGACUUGACAUCUUGGGCGAAGCUAUAGAAAUAUAGUGGAGGUCAACCCAAUGACAGGUGGUGCAUGGUUGUCGUCAGCUCGUGUCGUGAGAUGUUGGGUUAAGUCCCGCAACGAGCGCAACCCUUAUCGUUAGUUACUUUGUCUAACGAGACUGCCAACGUAAGUUGGAGGAAGGUGGGGAUGACGUCAAAUCAUCAUGCCCCUUAUGUCUAGGGCUGCAAACGUGCUACAAUGGCCAAUACAAACAGUUGCAAAUCCGUAAGGUGGAGCUAAUCUGUAAAGUUGGUCUCAGUUCGGAUUGAGGGCUGCAAUUCGCCCUCAUGAAGUCGGAAUCACUAGUAAUCGCGAAUCAGCCAUGUCGCGGUGAAUACGUUCUCGAGUCUUGUACACACCGCCCGUCAAACUAUGAGAGCUGGUAAUAUCUAAAACCGUGUUGCUAACCGUAAGGAAGCGCAUGUCUAGGGUAGGUAAGGUUUUUCGUGUACCGUCGAAUUAAGCAACAUGCUCCACCACUUGUGCGGG